rnacentral:rRNA from 1 species
UGGGGGAAUAUUGGGCAAUGGGCGCAAGCCUGACCCAGCAACGCCGCGUGAGGGAAGAAGGUUUUCGGAUUGUAAACCUCUGUCGCAGAAGACGAAGGAAGUGACGGUAAUCUGUGAGGAAGCCCCGGCUAACUACGUGCCAGCAGCCGCGGUAAUACGUAGGGGGCAAGCGUUAUCCGGAUUUACUGGGUGUAAAGGGAGCGUAGGCGGCGGAGCAAGUCAGAAGUGAAAGCCCGGGGCUCAACCCCGGGACGGCUUUUGAAACUGCCCUGCUUGAUUUCAGGAGAGGUAGGCGGAAUUCCUAGUGUAGCGGUGAAAUGCGUAGAUAUUAGGAGGAACACCAGUGGCGAAGGCGGCUUACUGGACUGACAAUGACGCUGAGGCUCGAAAGCGUGGGGAGCAAACAGGAUUAGAUACCCUGGUAGU